rnacentral:rRNA from 1 species
GUUCCGCCAGGAGCACAGCUGGGUAGCUAAGUGCGGACGGGAUAAGCGCUGAAAGCAUCUAAGCGUGAAGCCCCCCUCAAGAUGAGAUUUCCCAAUUAGUAAGACCCCUUGAAGACGACAAGGUUGAUAGGCCUGAGGUGGAAGUGCAGCAAUGCAUGGAGCUGACAGGUACUAAUCGGUCGAGGGCUUAUCCA